UACGUAGGGUGCAAGCGUUGUCCGGAAUUAUUGGGCGUAAAGAGCUCGUAGGCGGUCUGUCGCGUCUGCUGUGAAAACUCGGGGCUUAACCCCGGGCCUGCAGUGGGUACGGGCAGACUAGAGUGCGGUAGGGGAGACUGGAAUUCCUGGUGUAGCGGUGAAAUGCGCAGAUAUCAGGAGGAACACCUGCGGCGAAGGCGGGUUGCUGGGCUGACACUGACGCUGAUGUGCGAAAGCUAGGGGAGCGAACGGG
rnacentral:rRNA from 1 species